rnacentral:rRNA from 1 species
AACCUGGUUGAUCCUGCCAGUAGUCAUAUGCUUGUCUCAAAGACUAAGCCAUGCAUGUCUAAGUAUAAAUGCUAUACAAUGAAACUGCGAAUGGCUCAUUAAAACAGUUAUAGUUUAUAUGGUAAUCGAAUUUACAUGGAUAACCGUGGUAAUUCUAGAGCUAAUACAUGCUGUUAAGCCCAACUUAUGGAAGGGCCGUAUUUAUUAGAUAACAGACCAAUAUUCUUCGUGUCUAUUGUGGUGAAUCAUAGUAACUAAUCGGAUCGUAUGGGCUAGUCCCUCGACAAACCAUUCAAGUUUCUGCCCCAUCAGCUUUCGAUGGUAGUGUAUUGGACUACCAUGGCUUUCACGGGUAACGGAGGAUUAGGGUUCGAUUCCGGAGAGGGAGCCUGAGAAACGGCUACCACAUCUAAGGAAGGCAGCAGGCGCGUAAAUUACCCAAUUCUGAUUCAGAGAGGUAGUGACAAGAAAUAACGGGUCGGGACUUUGUCCCGGGACUGCAAUGAGAUGAACUUAUACCCCUUUUCGAGUA